AGAGUUUGAUCAUGGCUCAGAACGAACGCUGGCGGCGUGCCUAACACAUGCAAGUCGAACGAGAAAGGGGCUUCGGCCCUGAGUAAAGUGGCGCACGGGUGAGUAACACGUAGGUAACCUGCCUCUAAGAUUGGGAUAACAUGUCGAAAGACGUGCUAAUACCGAAUGAGACCACAGUUUCCUCGGAAACAGGGGUCAAAGGUAGCCUCUAUUUAUAAGCUAUCACUUGGAGAUGGGCCUGCGUACCAUUAGCUAGUUGGUAGGGUAACGGCCUACCAAGGCAAAGAUGGUUAGCUGGUCUGAGAGGAUGAUCAGCCACACUGGAACUGAGACACGGUCCAGACUCCCACGGGAGGCAGCAGUGGGGAAUAUUGCGCAAUGGGCGAAAGCCUGACGCAGCAACGCCGCGUGAGUGAUGAAGGCCUUCGGAUCGUAAAGCUCUGUCGGAGGGAACGAAUGUUUCUGAGGUUAACAGCCUCAGGAAGUGACGGUACCCUCAAGGAAGCACCGGCUAACUCUGUGCCAGCAGCCGCGGUA
rnacentral:rRNA from 1 species